UUUGGCACUCUCCAGGCCUGCA
rnacentral:miRNA from 1 species